UACGUAGGUGGCAAGCGUUGUUCGGAAUUACUGGGCGUAAAGGGCGCGUAGGCGGCCCGCUAAGUCGAACGUGAAAUCCCCGAGCUCAACUCGGGAACUGCGUCCGAUACUGGCGGGCUUGAAUCCGGGAGAGGGAUGCGGAAUUCCAGGUGUAGCGGUGAAAUGCGUAGAUAUCUGGAGGAACACCGGUGGCGAAGGCGGCAUCCUGGACCGGCAUUGACGCUGAGGCGCGAAAGCUAGGGGAGCAAACGGG
rnacentral:rRNA from 1 species